CAGCAGCCACGGUAAUACGAAGGGGGCUAGCGUUGUUCGGAAUUACUGGGCGUAAAGCGCACGUAGGCGGAUAUUUAAGUCAGGGGUGAAAUCCCAGAGCUCAACUCUGGAACUGCCUUUGAUACUGGGUAUCUUGAGUAUGGAAGAGGUGAAUGGAAUUCCGAGUGUAGAGGUGAAAUUCGUAGAUAUUCGGAGGAACACCAGUGGCGAAGGCGGCUCACUGGACCAUAACUGACGCUGAUGCACGAAAGCUAGGGGAGCAAACAGGAUUAGAUACCCGUGUAGUCCCUGUCUCUUAUAC
rnacentral:rRNA from 1 species